rnacentral:lncRNA from 1 species
ACAAAAUCCAUCCCAGAUAAAAGCCAAGCAAUAUCUCAGUUAAUACCAGCCAACUAAGGAAGUGAAACCUAUAGGACGGCCUCACAUCUCAUUCUCUUCAGAUCUUCCUCUGUCACAAGCAUUCAUUAACAUUGUUCAAUAAUCUGGAGCUCCCAUUUCCUCCUGAGACUCUAAUUAGCAUCUCUCUUCAUUGCAGGUGGUGAUGACUUAGAAGGGAAGAACAAGGGAGAGCACAACAGGAUCCACAUAGCGGAGAAGUCAUGUAAAUAUUCAGAGUGUGGAGAGAACAUCCGUCAGAGCUCCCAGUCCAACUCCCAUCAAAGAAAGAGCUUCAUUCGAAGGAAUAGCCUCACUUCACACGAAAUAACACAGAGUAGGGAGAAAUCGUAUCAGUGCUUGGAGUGUGGAAAGAGCUUCAGCCAGAGGGCCCAUCUCACUUCUCAUCAAAUAAUUCAUACAGGGGAGAAGCCCUAUCAGUGCUUGGAAUGUGGAAAGAGCUUCAAUCGAAAGAAUAAUUUCACUGUGCAUCAAAGAAUUCAUACAGGGGAAACCAUAUCAGUGCUUGGAAUGUGGAAAGAGCUUUCGUGUGAGUGGUGAACUCACUUCCCACCAAAGAAUUCAUACAGGGAGAAACCCUAUCAGUGCUUCGAAUGUGGGAAGAGCUUUCGUGUGAGUGGUGA